ACACCAUGGCGGGGACAUUAUCUUAGCAAACUCUUAAAUCUGUCCCACACUUCAAAUAAUAAUUCUCUAUCUUUCUGAGCAAAAUUUAUGAUUUUGUUCCUCAUAU